GAUGAACGCUGACAGAAUGCUUAACACAUGCAAGUCAACUUGAACUUUGGUUUGGGUGGCGGACGGGUGAGUAACGCGUAAAGAACUUGCCUCACAGCUAGGGACAACAUUUGGAAACGAAUGCUAAUACCUGAUAUUAUGAUUAUAUGGCAUCGUAUAAUUAUGAAAGCUAAAUGCACUGUGAGAGAGCUUUGCGUCCCAUUAGCUAGUUGGAGAGGUAACGGCUCACCAAGGCGAUGAUGGGUAGCCGGCCUGAGAGGGUGAACGGCCACAAGGGGACUGAGACACGGCCCUUACUCCUACGGGAGGCAGCAGUGGGGAAUAUUGGACAAUGAACCGAGAGUCUGAUCCAGCAAUUCUGUGUGCACGAUGAAGUUUUUCGGAUUGUAAAGUGCUUUCAGCAGGGAAGAAGGAAGUGACGGUACCUGCAGAAGAAGCGACGGCUAAAUACGUGCCAGCAGCCGCGGUAAUACGUAUGUCGCGAGCGUUAUCCGGAAUUAUUGGGCAUAAAGGGCAUCUAGGCGGCCUAACAAGUCAGGGGUGAAAACCUGCGGCUCAACCGCAGGCCUGCCUUUGAAACUGUAAGGCUGGAGUACCGGAGAGGUGGACGGAACUGCACGAGUAGAGGUGAAAUUCGUAGAUAUGUGCAGGAAUGCCGAUGAUGAAGAUAGUCCACUGGACGGAAACUGACGCUGAAGUGCGAAAGCCGGGGGAGCGAACAGG
rnacentral:rRNA from 1 species